UGGGGAAUAUUGGGCAAUGGAGGCAACUCUGACCCAGCAACGCUGCGUGAAUGAAGAAGGUCUUCGGAUUGUAAAGUUCUGUGAUGGGGGACGAAGAAAGUGACGGUACCCCAAUAGCAAGCUACGGCUAACUACGUGCCAGCAGCCGCGGUAAUACGUAGGUAGCAAGCGUUGUCCGGAAUGACUGGGCGUAAAGGGUGCGUAGGUGGUUUAACAAGUUGGUAGUGAAAUUCCGAAGCUUAACUUCGGCGCUACUACCAAGACUGUUGAACUUGAGUACAGGAGAGGUAAGUGGAAUUCCUAGUGUAGCGGUGGAAUGCGUAGAUAUUAGGAGGAACACCAGUGGCGAAGGC
rnacentral:rRNA from 1 species